GCUUGCUCCACCGGAAAAAGAAGAGUGGCGAACGGGUGAGUAACACGUGGGUAACCUGCCCAUCAGAAGGGGAUAACACUUGGAAACAGGUGCUAAUACCGUAUAACAAUCAAAACCGCAUGGUUUUGAUUUGAAAGGCGCUUUCGGGUGUCGCUGAUGGAUGGACCCGCGGUGCAUUAGCUAGUUGGUGAGGUAACGGCUCACCAAGGCCACGAUGCAUAGCCGACCUGAGAGGGUGAUCGGCCACAUUGGGACUGAGACACGGCCCAAACUCCUACGGGAGGCAGCAGUAGGGAAUCUUCGGCAAUGGACGAAAGUCUGACCGAGCAACGCCGCGUGAGUGAAGAAGGUUUUCGGAUCGUAAAACUCUGUUGUUAGAGAAGAACAAGGAUGAGAGUAACUGUUCAUCCCUUGACGGUAUCUAACCAGAAAGCCACGGCUAACUACGUGCCAGCAGCCGCGGUAAUACGUAGGUGGCAAGCGUUGUCCGGAUUUAUUGGGCGUAAAGCGAGCGCAGGCGGUUUCUUAAGUCUGAUGUGAAAGCCCCCGGCUCAACCGGGGAGGGUCAUUGGAAACUGGGAGACUUGAGUGCAGAAGAGGAGAGUGGAAUUCCAUGUGUAGCGGUGAAAUGCGUAGAUAUAUGGAGGAACACCAGUGGCGAAGGCGGCUCUCUGGUC
rnacentral:rRNA from 1 species